UUGGAGGGCAAGUCUGGUGCCAGCAGCCGCGGUAAUUCCAGCUCCAAUAGCGUAUAUUAAAGUUGUUGCAGUUAAAAAGCUCGUAGUUGAAUUUCGGGAUUCGUCAGUUGGUCGGGCUUCAUUGUUUGUACUGAUGUGAUGGAUUCUUACCUUCUGAAUAACCAGCAUGCCAUUAAGUUAGUGCGUUGGGGAAGCAGGACUGUUACCUUGAAAAAAUUAGAGUGCUUAAAGCAAGCUAGUGCCUGAAUAGAUUAGCAUGGAAUAAUAAAAUAGGACGGCAUGGUUCUAUUUUGUUGGUUUCUAGGAUCACCGUAAUGAUUAAUAGGGAUAGUUGGGGGCAUUAGUAUUCAAUUGUCAGAGGUGAAAUUCUUGGAUUUAUUGAAGACUAACUUCUGCGAAAGCAUUUGCCAAGGAUGUUUUCAUUAAUCAAGAACGAAAGUUAGGGGAUCGAAGACGAUCAGAUACCGUCGUAGUCUUAACCAUAAACUAUGCCGACUAGGGAUCGGACGAUGUUAAUUUUUUAAUGACUUGUUCGGCGCCUUACGGGAAAC
rnacentral:rRNA from 1 species